CGAAAAGGUCAACGGAAUUUCAUAAUGUUCCAGUUACAGUCGACUGUUUCCAAGAAUUUAAUUCGCACACUUUAUUAUACAUGUAGUAUUUGCGUAAAUAGCCGCUUAUCAGUAUAUUAUACCUUGUUUUCCAACUAACCGCAUUUGUUGCGCGAUUAAUACAACGACGCAAGGAAAAAUACAAUUGAUGCGGUAUUUGCUCGGGUACAUAUCUUUUCCUCGUACAGAGAACCGUGGACGUCUCUUUGAAUAUGGAGUGCAAAUGACUUUCAGUGAUCAAGAAUUAUUUCGAUAUUUGGUUAAUCUGGAGAUAAUUCGUUGUACAUACUUGGAACGCUUGGGACAAAUGAUGAACUCUACUCGCUUCAUGACGAUGAUGCCACUUCUCACGUCGAAGAUGCAUAUCAGAUUUUCCUCAACCGAUCGACCGGCGAUGAAACAUCGGGGGAAUAAUGGCACCUGAGGCGUGGGAGUAUCCUGUGCGGGUACCUGUUCCUACGUACAGUCCUGGAAUCACCAGGUUC